GUACGCUGGCGGCACGCCUAACACAUGCAAGUCGAACGCAGUAGCAAUACUGAGUGGCAAACGGGUGAGUAUAAUGUGGGAAUCUGCCUUUUGGUUUGGAAUAACACGGGGAAACUUGUGCUAAUACCGAAUAAGCCUUUACAGGGAAAGUUUUAACGCCGAAAGAUGAGCCUGCACUUGAUUAGCUAGUUGGUAAGGUAAAGGCUUACCAAGGCAACGAUCAAUAGCUGUUCUUAGAGGAAGACCAGCCACAUUGGGACUGAGACACGGCCCAGACUCCUACGGGAGGCAGCAGUGGGGAAUCUUGCACAAUGGGGGAAACCCUGAUGCAGCGAUGCCGCGUGAGUGAAGAAGGCCCUUGGGUUGUAAAACUCUUUCGUCGGGGAAGAAAAUGACUGUACCCGA
rnacentral:rRNA from 1 species